GAAUUGGGCCUGUCCAAUUCGCAGCCCAGGAGUCUUUAACCUAGCCCAGUUGUGAACCUUGUGUUAUAUAAACAAGUAUGAAGAUGAGAGUUUGAUUGGAUGCAUGUUAUUAGAGAGCAAAUUCGUGAGAACACUAGGGUUUGGACGAAUUUGAGAGAGUGUUAGGGUUUUGGAUUGAUUGUAAUUCCUUGUGAUUGAUAAUCAAUAGAAAACCCGGUUUGAUU
rnacentral:lncRNA from 1 species